AUGAUGAGACUUCCGCGUGAGCGGGUCGGUGAGAACCACGGACGGGUAGACGGCCCAUGG
rnacentral:ncRNA from 1 species